rnacentral:rRNA from 1 species
UUCGACCUGAGGUCAGAUGAGACUACCCGCUGAAUUUAAGCAUAUCACUAAGCGGAGGAAAAGAAACUAACAAGGAUUCCCCUAGUAACGGCGAGUGAAGAGGGAUGAGCCCAGCGCCGAAUCCCGCUACUUGUGAGGAACUGUGUGUUUGGAGGUCACUGCGUCGUCCACUGUCGCCCGAGUCCUCCUGAUCGGGGCUUCACCCAGAGUGGGUGUCAGGCCUCUACGGCGACGGCUGGCGUCUCUCUAGGCUUCCUAG